rnacentral:rRNA from 1 species
GCCAGACUUGGAACCGGGAGAGGUAAGAGGUACGUACAGGGGUAGGAGUGAAAUCUUGUAAUCCCUGUGGGACCACCUGUGGCGAAGGCGUCUUACAGAACGGGUUCGACGGUGAGGGACGAAAGCUGGGGGCACGAACCGGAUUAGAUACCCGGGUAGUCCCAGCCGUAAACGAUGCUCGCUAGGUGUCAGGCAUGGCGCGACCGUGUCUGGUGCCGCAGGGAAGCCGUGAAGCGAGCCACCUGGGAAGUACGGCCGCAAGGCUGAAACUUAAAGGAAUUGGCGGGGGAGCACAACAACGGGUGGAGCCCUGCGGUUUAAUUGGACUCAACGCCGGACAACUCACCGGGGGGCGACAGCAAUAUGUAGGCCAAGCUGAAGACUUUGCCUGAAUCGCUGAGAGGUGGUGCAUGG